GUAUUACUGUGGUAAUGUGGAAAAGAUAAAGAACUGAAGCUAUAGCUGUGAUACGAGAGAAGAAACGGAGCUGGCUGUGUGCAAUAAUGUUAAUAUUGUUGUGCAGGCUAGGUUUUUUUCCCUUGUUCGUGUGGAAGGAACUAAGAUUCUGGAUUACGAUGGAUUCUCUCCGGAUGGAGAUGGCGAGCCUGAGCCCGGACUGAACGUUGCAGAGGAACUUACUCUUCUUCCUCGACGGAGACUCCCAAGUGUAGAGCGGGACAUUUGAUUUACUCUCAGCGGAAUUGACCGGAGAAGGCAUCAGUUCAUGCACUGCACUGGCCCGCACCACGAUUAGUAUAAGGCACAUUUCACGAAGCAGAACGCAGUCUCCAGAGAUAUCCACGUGAACGCUGUGAUACGUCUGACCUUCAGUCCGAAGAAGAAACCCAGACCAGUCUUAAAAGAAAGCACAAACCAAAUCCCCUGUACACAUAUACGGACUCAGAGGAUGAGCAGCCUACAAAAAAACGGUUUCCCCAGGCCCCUCGAGUGAAAAUACCAGCCCUCAUCACUCCGCAGUCUGCCCCCCAGCCCACUGAUCAUAAUGCCCCACCCAGCUUCCGGCACCUUUCGCCACUCCGGCACAAACCGACACAGCUUUGCGAUCUCGCCAGCAUGCAGAGUCUGAUGUCUUCCCUAUAGAUGAUUCCAGAGACUCUGUGAGGCCACUAUUACAAGGUGAGACUCUUUGCGUUGAUUGGUGCUGCUGGACCACACUGGAGGUGCGAGUCCGCCGUGUAAUGGUUUAUGCCAUUACAAAGGAGCUGGCCUCUGUACUCAACUGGGCAGGGGAAAAAAACCAAGGACCAGACAAAGCAAAAAAGGGCAUUUAAAGAGACAGCGCUGUGCAGAUGCAUAUUUGAUGGCCUGGCGCAGCAGGUAGGGGCGAACUCUAUGUCUGAGUUGGUCUUUCCUCAAGCAGUCCAGAAAUGGCUCAGAUAUGCUCCAGAUCGUACGGGUGGCGCGCAGGACGCACAUCAUCCAUCCCCAUCCCCGAGUAAAUAAUAAAAAGUGACGUGAAACAUAGAAAUGUAAAUAGGAAACUUUGUCUUUUAAUAAAGUAUUUUGCAAAUGAUACAUGUCUAUUGACCUUUUUUGUUUUUUUGUUUUUUUUCAAUAAAAAGCAACUGUGCGAAAGAGGUGGAAAAUCAAUACCAUAGCUCAACAGUGUUUCAAUAUCAGAAUCUGACAUUGUUUCAAUGUCAACAGUGUUAGAAAAUAUAACGUCGAAUCAACGUCAGGUUUCAACAUUGAUUCAACAUCAAAACCUGACGUUGUUUCAACGUUAAAAAUGGGUGCAAGAGUGACGUUGGGUCAACGUCACACUUCAACGUUGCUUCAAUGACG
ensembl:lncRNA